rnacentral:piRNA from 1 species
UGUCAUUGGUCUCAUGACUGGCUGUGCAGGC